GUAUGGUGCAAGCGUUAUCCGGAUUUACUGGGCGUAAAGGGAGCGCAGGCGGUGCGGCAAGUCUGAUGUGAAAGCCCGGGGCUCAACCCCGGUACUGCAUUGGAAACUGUCGUACUAGAGUGUCGGAGGGGUAAGCGGAAUUCCUAGUGUAGCGGUGAAAUGCGUAGAUAUUAGGAGGAACACCAGUGGCGAAGGCGGCUUACUGGACGAUAACUGACGCUGAGGCUCGAAAGCGUGGGGAGCAAACAGGAUUAGAUACCCUGGUAGUCCACGCCAUAAACGAUGAAUACUAGGUGUUGGGAAGCAUUGCUUCUCGGUGCCGUCGCAAACGCAGUAAGUAUUCCACCUGGGGAGUACGUUCGCAAGAAUG
rnacentral:rRNA from 1 species